GGGGCUGUAGCUCACCUGGUAGAGCGCCUGCAUGGCAUGCAGGAGGUAAGGGGUUCGAUCCCCCUCAGCUCCACCA
rnacentral:tRNA from 1 species